CCAGUUCAGACAGAAGUCAUAACCGUCCUUUUUUAAAACCGUUAUCGAACUGUCGAACCGGCCAGAAAUCGGCCAGUCGAACCGAAUCGGGACCCGUCCGAUUUUCAGAUUUUCCACCAAAACCUAAUCCUCUUCUCCCGUCCUUGAGCACUCACUUCACUCACAUUACUCGCAGCAACAUCUGGCCUUCGAGCUCCUCCAUCACUCUGUCAUUUGCUCCGUCCAGCCACCGCCGUGCCACCCCACCGUCGCAACUGUCGUCUCCAGCCACUCUCCCCCAAGCCCUUCCCCCAAUCCUCAGUCCUUCCUCUCUCAACUCUCAACCCUAGGUUACAGUCUCCCCCACCGCCGCAAGGCUCGACUCAGCGCUAAACAAUUGGUGCCUCCGCCUGUAUAUUCUCCUGGUAGCCCGUCGUCCGUCGCAUGUCGUGGGUCGUCGUGCUUAUUGCCUAGUCGACCGUCGCCCUCACCUUCCCAUCACCGGCGUUCUUGCUCCUUCUCCCUCAUACUCUGCUCAUUGCUCACUUCUCAGAGUUUCAUACUGAAAGUAAUGGUUAUUUUCUUGCCUUUUUUUGUUCAUUUGUUGUUCAGAUUCAGAGAUGUUCCUUUCCUCCUUUGCUUGGUGUACACAGGGAAGGAACUAGACAAAAGGUUAUUCAAUGUAAUACUGAACACUAUUAGUAAUACGAACAAAGGUAAUUCAAUGUUCUUCACAUCAAUUCCUUUGUUCUAAGCUUGAUGUAGGUGUCCACAAGGAAGGAACGAGAAGCUGUCUUAGAUAUGCUUCUUUAGAUGUUAUGUUUUUCUUAGAUGAGCUUGUGGAAUGUUAAGAAAACCCAUAACGAGAAGCUCUGUUCCCCUGCGCUCCAGCUUUGUUUUUAAUGAUUAGUAUGUUGUUCCAGUUCUUGUUUUCUUGUUGGUUUGCUAUAUUUUAAAGCUUUAGUUGUUCUUGUUAUUUUGAUUUUCAGUUCUAAUUGAUCUUAUUAACUUGUUAAUUUGAUAAAUUAAUGUUUUCGUGCUGUUCUUAACUUUUAAAUUUUAGAUUGUUAAGUUGUUAUGUUGUUCUUGACCUUUUGAUAAUUUGUUAAUUUUAUAAAUUGUUCUUGUUAUGGUUUGCUGUUCUUGAUUUGAUAAAUUGUUCAUGUUAUUAAUGUUGAUUUGAUAAAUUAUUCAUGUUGUUGAUCUUAAUUUACUAAAUUGUUCAUGAUGUUGAUCUUAAUUAAUUGUUCUUGACUUCUUGUUAUUAGAAAGAGAAUGGAAUUGAGGUAUAUCAAUUUACAGGUAGCUAUAAAUUAAAAAGAGGACACUCACUGUGCAGAGCUCCUUUGUUACUUCAUUAAAUAUUUUUUUGGGUUUCUAAUGCAAUACCUGAGAUUAAGAAUUGAAUGGAAGAUGAGCAAUAUUGAUUUUCUUUUUGUUUGUUUUUGAAUAUGAAUUCAAGAUUCUGUAAAACUGACUUUUACUAGGAAUCCUACAGCUUGCUCAAUAUGUUUCAGUUCCUCCCAGGAUGAGCUAAUAUACUGUGCAUGACAGAUUCAGGUUAUGAUAUAAAUAUGGAAUAGAAUGAAUGGUCUCAAAUGGUUGAUUGGUGCUCACCUCAUCAGUGGCCUCAAUACACCAUCUCUCUAAUUCACCCAAUCCUACCUUUACAUACUCUCUAUUGCUGAAUGAACAAUACUCAUGACGCAACAGAAGACUGGCAGUGAUCAAAUUAAAUACCUCAAAAUGUUAGUAUUCUCUAUGCAGUAAUUUGACAUGUAAUA